rnacentral:lncRNA from 1 species
CACACACACUAAAGGGCCUCGGUAAGCCGAAAAAAUACGAAAAAUCAAAAUUCAUCGACGGUAGAGCUCUCUGGUGCGGCGGUUACUCCGGUUCACGUUACGAUUAGGUGUUUCGUUUCGGUCAACUUAUAGAGAAGAAAACGGUAAUCACAACGGUAGAAAAAUUACACGGAAUGGGAAUCAAGAAGGGCCUCAUCGGAUGCGAUUUGUGAAAUUCCCUACGGCGGCGCCGCCGGGCUUCGUCGGUGUUUUUGGGCCAAUUGGUUAGUUCUUUCACUUUGAUUUAGCCAUAGAUGGGUUUAAAAUUAAAUUUCGUGCAAAAAAAAAUUUUUUUACCUCUUUUAGUGGUCGAAAAGGGUUCCGAUGCGGCAAUAGGUAGCGACGG